GCAGAACCCCAACAGCCUCGGGUUGGGUUUCCUUUCUUUAUAUUAAACAAAACCAAAAGGUUUCCUAUCUUACACCGUAUGUACAGUUGCAUACUGAAGAGGUAAAGUGUCUCAGUGGCCAUCGUACAGUCCGUCGCCCCCCCGGACCCCCCCCAUCCUUUUCUGAGCCCCCCCCCCAUGUGCUGCAAAGUGCAGUGUGUGUGAAUGCUACAUGGCCCCAUUGGGAUGUGCUGGGGCAGAGGGGGGUGCGUGGCUGAAAGGGGGAUGGGGGGGGAUCAGUGCAUGGAAGGUCCUUACAGAGCAGCCCUGACCCUAUUACUGUGACCCUACAACCCUGACCCUAUAACCCCAACCCUGACCCUAUCACUGUGACCCUACAACCCUGACCCUAUCAUUGUGACCCUAACCCUAUAACCCCAACCUCGACCCUAUAACCCUGACCCUAGCACCAUGACCCUGACCCUAUAACCCCAACCUCUGACCAUGACCCCAACCCUGACCCUAUAAUCCCAACCCCAACCCUGACCCCAUAACCCCAACCAUGACCCUGACCCCAACCCCAUAACCCCGACCCUCUAACCUCAACCCUGACCCUCUAACCCUGACCAUGACCCCAACCCUGACACCAUAACCCCGACCAUGACUCCAAGCCCGAUCCCAUAACCCAGAGCCUCUAACUCCAACCCUGACCCUAUAACCCCAACCCAGAUCCCAUAAUCCUGACCAUGACCCCAUAACCCUGAGCCUCUAACUCCAACUCUGACCCUCUAACUCCAACCCAGAUCCUAUAACCCCACCCAAGUCCAGCACGAGGCUCAUCCUCCAAAACACAUUGGGGCUGCAGUGAACCCACAUCGUACCAACACAGGGCUAGGAGGAGGGGGGGGGCUUUCCUAUGGCAUUCAGCUCCCAGCAGCUGUAAGACCCCCCCGAAGACCCCCCACCACCACAUUGGGGCCCAAUGACAGCAGUUGGGGGGGGUGUGAGGUGAACACAGAGGACCCCCCGCCCCCCCAUCACAUUGGGGCCCAAUGACAGCAGUGAAGGGGUGGGGGUGGACACUGGGUCCCAUUGUGGUGGGGGGGGCCCUCUAUGACAGCAGUGGGGGCAUGGGGGGGGGGGGGGGGCAAACACAGAGGACCCCCCUCCAUCACAUUGGGGCCCAAUGACAGCAGUGGGGGGAGGGGGGUGGACACAGAGAACCCCCCCCCCCAUAUCACACAGAGCCACAGACGGACAGCAGGGGGACGCACGGACGGGGGGGGCUCACCCAGACUUCCAGUGCGAAUGGAGCCGGCCGCAUCGGGUUGGUUGGCCCAUCAGAACCACUCCAGUUCAAAGCUAUGGCUUCACCAAGGGCUGCGCCCCCAAUGCUCAGCUCUAAACAGUCAGAUGGA
ensembl:lncRNA